AGUAACACUACAGUGAUCUGGAACCAGGCUAGACUGGGCAGUAAUACUACAGUGAUCUGGAACCAGGCUAGUGUAGACUGGGCAGUAAUACUACAGUGAUCUGGAACCAGGCUAGUGUAGACUGGGCAGUAAUACUACAUUGAUCUGGAACCAGGCUAGUGUAGACUGGGAAGUAAUACUAGUGAUCUGGAACCAGGCUAGUGUAGACUGGGCAGUAAUACUACAGUGAUCUGGAACCAGGCUAGUGUAGACUGGGCAGUAACACUACAGUGAUCUGGAACCAGGCUAGUGUAGACUGGGCAGUAACACUACAGUGAUCUGGAACCAGGCUAGUGUAGACUGGGCAGUAAUACUACAGUGAUCUGGAACCAGGCUAGUGUAGACUGGGCAGUAAUACUACAGUGAUCUGGAACCAGGCUAGACUGGGCAGUAACACUACAGUGAUCUGGAACCAGGUUAGUGUAGACUGGGCAGUAAUACUACAGUGAUCUGGAACCAGGCUAGUGUAGACUGGGCAGUAAUACUACAGUGAUCUGGAACCAGGCUAGUGUAGACUGGGCAGUAAUACUAGUGAUCUGGAACCAGGCUAGUGUAGACUGGGCAGUAAUACUACAGUGAUCUGGAACCAGGCUAGUGUAGACUGGGCAGUAACACUACAGUGAUCUGGAACCAGGCUAGUGUAGACUGGGCAGUAAUACUACAGUGAUCUGGAACCAGGCUAGUGUAGACUGGGCAGUAAUACUACAGUGAUCUGGAACCAGGCUAGUGUAGACUGGGCAGUAAUACUACAGUGAUCUGGAACCAGGUUAGUGUAGACUGGGCAGUAAUACUACAGUGAUCUGGAACCAGGUUAGUGUAGACUGGGCAGUAAUACUACAGUGAUCUGGAACCAGGUUAGUGUAGACUGGGCAGUAAUACUACAGUGAUCUGGAACCAGGCUAGACUGGGCAGUAACACUACAAUGAUCUGGAACCAGGUUAGUGUAGACUGGGCAGUAACACUACAGUGAUCUGGAACCAGGCUAGUGUAGACUGGGCAGUAACACUACAGUGAUCUGGAACCAGGCUAGUGUAGACUGGGCAGUAAUACUACAGUGAUCUGGAACCAGGUUAGUGUAGACUGGGCAGUAAUACUACAGUGAUCUGGAACCAGGCUAGUGUAGACUGGGCAGUAAUACUACAGUGAUCUGGAACCAGGCUAGUGUAGACUGGGCAGUAACACUACAGUGAUCUGGAACCAGGUUAGUGUAGACUGGGCAGUAAUACUACAGUGAUCUGGAACCAGGUUAGUGUAGACUGGGCAGUAAUACUACAGUGAUCUGGAACCAGGUUAGUGUAGACUGGGCAGUAACACUACAGUGAUCUGGAACCAGGCUAGUGUAGACUGGGCAGUAACACUACAGUGAUCUGGAACCAGGCUAGUGUAGACUGGGCAGUAAUACUACAGUGAUCUGGAACCAGGUUAGUGUAGACUGGGCAGUAAUACUACAGUGAUCUGGAACCAGGCUAGUGUAGACUGGGCAGUAAUACUACAGUGAUCUGGAACCAGGCUAGUGUAGACUGGGCAGUAAUACUACAGUGAUCUGGAACCAGGCUAGUGUAGACUGGGCAGUAACACUACAGUGAUCUGGAACCAGGCUAGUGUAGACUGGGCAGUAAUACUACAGUGAUCUGGAACCAGGCUAGUGUAGACUGGGCAGUAAUACUAGUGAUCUGGAACCAGGCUAGUGUAGACUGGGCAGUAACACUACAGUGAUCUGGAACCAGGCUAGUGUAGACUGGGCAGUAACACUACAGUGAUCUGGAACCAGGCUAGUGUAGACUGGGCAGUAAUACUACAGUGAUAAAAGUCAACAGUGAACCAUUGCGUUUCUGUCUGAAGGGACAAGGAGAGCACACGACGUCCCACCCUGGGACAGAAGCACAGCGCCCCACUCCUCCCUCAGUGUCUCCGUGUCUCCCGCCUGCCUCCAGCCUGCUUCCAUGCCUCCAGCCUGCUUCCGUGCCUGCCUCCCUCCCUCCAUCCAUCCGUGCCUGCCUCCCUGCCUCCAUCCCUGCCU